UAGAAGAUAGUAUAACGGAAAAACAAAGAAAUUUGAAUUCUUAAAUGUAAGUUCGACUCUUACUCUCCUAA
rnacentral:tRNA from 1 species